CUUUUACCCAAGAAUGAAGAAGUCUUGGCACCUGGAGUCUGUUUUGUGCAUAAUGAUAUUUAGGAAACUCAUUAUAGAAUUUUGUUUGGACUAAGUUCCAUUUGCUGUUUUCUUUUAAAUGAAUUUACUUGUGUGUUUCUUUUGUAAUUUUAACAUUCUAUUCCUGUAUGUAUUUGUAUUUUUAUAUGAUAUGUUUUGAAUUUGUGUGCAUGUCCAUGUGCAUAGUCAAUUAUUUGGUAAUAAUCAUAUUCCCACAGGCUUGACAGAUGGCAUAUGGUUAAACUAUUAUCUGAGUCUUUGUUUUUCAUGCAUUCUUGCUUUCAUGGCUAGGGAGGAAAAGAUUUGAAUUUUAAAUGUGCAUGAUUCAGGAUGUAUGCCAUUAAUUAGAUUUGCUAAUGGCCAAUGAGAAGUAGGAACAUUUUGUGCCCAAUCGAAGAGUACUUCAGUUUCAACUAUUCUCUAUUGUAUUGUUUUUAAUCAUGUGAAUGGUUAAUUUCUUGACAAUCUUAAUCUUAAUUUCUGUCAGUCUGAACAUUUGUGUCAGAAAUUUGAGGAAUGGUAUGAAGAUAUCUCUGAGAGUAAUUCUCUAUG
rnacentral:misc_RNA from 1 species